rnacentral:rRNA from 1 species
AACGAACGCUGGCGACAGGCUUAACACAUGCAAGUCGAACGCCCCGCAAGGGGAGUGGCAGACGGGUGAGUAACGCGUGGGAAUCUACCGUACCCUACGGAAUAACGCAUGGAAACGUGUGCUAAUACCGUAUACGCCCUUAGGGGGAAAGAUUUAUCGGGGUAUGAUGAGCCCGCGUUGGAUUAGCUAGUUGGUGGGGA